AAAUUGAAGAGUUUGAUCAUGGCUCAGAUUGAACGCUGGCGGCAGGCCUAACACAUGCAAGUCGAGCGGUAACACAGAGAGCUUGCUCUCGGGUGACGAGCGGCGGACGGGUGAGUAAUGUCUGGGAAACUGCCUGAUGGAGGGGGAUAACUACUGGAAACGGUAGCUAAUACCGCAUAACGUCGCAAGACCAAAGUGGGGGACCUUCGGGCCUCAUGCCAUCAGAUGUGCCCAGAUGGGAUUAGCUAGUAGGUGGGGUAACGGCUCACCUAGGCG
rnacentral:rRNA from 1 species